ACGGUAACAUUUCUAGCUUGCUAGAAGAUGACGAGCUGGCGGACGGGUGAGUAAUGCUUGGGAACUUGCCUUUGCGAGGGGGAUAACAGUUGGAAACNACUGCUAAUACCGCAUAAUGUCUACGGACCAAACGGGGCUUAGGCUCCGGCGCAAAGAGAGGCCCAAGUGAGAUUAGCUAGUUGGUAAGGUAAAGGCUUACCAAGGCGACGAUCUCUAGCUGUUCUGAGAGGAAGAUCAGCCACACUGGGACUGAGACACGGCCCAGACUCCUACGGGAGGCAGCAGUGGGGAAUAUUGCACAAUGGGGGAAACCCUGAUGCAGCCAUGCCGCGUGUGUGAAGAAGGCCUUCGGGUUGUAAAGCACUUUCAGUUGUGAGGAAAAGUUAGUAGUUAAUACCUGCUAGCCGUGACGUUAACAACAGAAGAAGCACCGGCUAACUCCGUGCCAGCAGCCGCGGUAAUACGGAGGGUGCGAGCGUUAAUCGGAAUUACUGGGCGUAAAGCGCACGCAGGCGGUUUGUUAAGCUAGAUGUGAAAGCCCCGGGCUCAACCUGGGAUGGUCAUUUAGAACUGGCAGACUAGAGUCUUGGAGAGGGGAGUGGAAUUCCAGGUGUAGCGGUGAAAUGCGUAGAUAUCUGGAGGAACAUCAGUGGCGAAG
rnacentral:rRNA from 1 species